rnacentral:rRNA from 1 species
CAGUCGCCGCGGUAAUACAGAGGGUGCAAGCGUUAAUCGGAAUUACUGGGCGUAAAGCGCGCGUAGGUGGUUCGUUAAGUUGGAUGUGAAAUCCCCGGGCUCAACCUGGGAACUGCAUCCAAAACUGGCGAGCUAGAGUAGGGCAGAGGGUGGUGGAAUUUCCUGUGUAGCGGUGAAAUGCGUAGAUAUAGGAAGGAACACCAGUGGCGAAGGCGACCACCUGGGCUCAUACUGACACUGAGGUGCGAAAGCGUGGGGAGCAAACAGGAUUAGAUACCCGGGUAGUCCAUGUCUCUUAUAC